GUAGCAGGAGGCGCAGGAACCGGCCAUGUUCAUGAUCCCGAUCGCCAUCAUCUCCUUGUUCCCGUCAACCUGGUAGUUGUUGAUGGAUGCGAAGUUAAGGAUAAGAUGCCUGUCAUGACCCCUGUUUUGAUCGCCAGCGCCACGUUGGAGCCACUGAAGGAGAGAAUGGUGGAGAUGAUCACUGACGCCAGGGGAGCACCUGCUGCUACCAAGAAAAGCUUUGGAUUCUUUUUGCUCUGAAAAAAAAUACAGCGAACAAAAUUAGCGGUUGAUAAGUUUGUCUGUCAUUCAGUGCUUUUAUAAUCUCAACUAGACAAAAUAGAUAGAUUUGUGUACUGUAAAUUACUAGUAGAUACUAGAUUUUUUAUAGGAGUAUAAAUAAAUAAAUUAUGAAAAAAUCUGUUGAUUUUGGA